rnacentral:rRNA from 1 species
GAUCCAGAGCUUGCUCUGGUGAGAGUGGCGCACGGGUGAGUAACGCGUGGAUAACCUGCCCUGGUAUCUGGAAUAACAUCUCGAAAGGGGUGCUAAUACCGGAUAAGCCUACGGAGCCCUCGGUCUCUGCAGGAAAAGGUGGCCUCUAUUUAUAAGCUACCGUAUCAGGAUGGGUCCGCGUACCAUUAGCUAGUUGGUAGGGUAAUGGCCUACCAAGGCUACGAUGGUUAGCUGGUCUGAGAGGAUGAUCAGCCACACUGGAACUGAGACACGGUCCAGACUCCUACGGGAGGCAGCAGUGGGGAAUUUUGCGCAAUGGGGGAAACCCUGACGCAGCAACGCCGCGUGAGUGAUGAAGGCUUUCGGGUCGUAAAGCUCUGUCAGAAGGGAAGAAAUGGGGCUGGCUAAUAUCCAGUUUCCUUGACGGUACCUUCAAAGGAAGCACCGGCUAACUCCGUGCCAGCAGCCGCGGUAAUAC